AGGGUAACCGACGGUGGACAUAUCGGAAGUGCGAAUGCUGACAUGAGUAGCGAUAAAGAGGGUGAGAUACCCUCUCGCCGAAAGACCAAGGGUUCCUGCGUAAAGCUAAUCUGCGCAGGGUAAGCCGGCCCCUAAGCCGAGGACGAAAGUCGUAGGCGAUGGGAACCAGGUUAAUAUUCCUGGGCCUUCUGGAAGUGACGAAUGGCGUAAAUCGUGUGGGCUUAUCGGAUUGUCCAUGCGGUGGUGCUGUUCCAGGAAAUAGCUCCAGUUGUAGACCGUACCCUAAACCGACACAGGUGGACUGGCAGAGCAUGCCAAGGCGCUUGAGAGAACGAUGCUGAAGGAACUCGGCAAAUUACCUCCGUAACUUCGG
rnacentral:rRNA from 1 species